rnacentral:rRNA from 1 species
AGAGUUUGAUCAUGGCUCAGAACGAACGCUGGCGGCACGUUUUAAGCAUGCAAGUCGAACGGUAGGAAAUGCUUGCAUUUCCGAGAGUGGCGAACGGGUGAGUAACACGUAGAUGAUCUACCUUUUAGUUGGGGAUAGCCCAUGGAAACAUGGAGUAAUACCGAAUAAUCUCUUAGAACUUUAGUUUUUUGAGGAAAGCAGCGUUUGCUGUGCUGAAANAUGAGUCUGCGCACUAUUAGCUAGUUGGUGGGGUAAGAGCCUACCAAGGCGACGAUAGUUAGCCGNCCUGAGAGGGUGAUCGGCCNCAUUGGGACUGAGACACGGCCCAGACUCCUACGGGAGNCANCAGCUAAGAAUCUUCCGCAAUGGGCNCAANCCUGACGGAGCGAUGCCGCGUGGAUGAAGAAUGCAGAGAUGUUGUAAAAUCCCUUUUAUUAGUGAGG